UACAGAGGGUGCGAGCGUUAAUCGGAAUUACUGGGCGUAAAGCGCACGUAGGCGGCUUGGUAUGUCGGGUGUGAAAUCCCCGGGCUCAACCUGGGAACUGCAUCCGAAAUUGCCUUGCUCGAGUAUGGGAGAGGGGAGUGGAAUUUCCGGUGUAGCGGUGAAAUGCGUAGAUAUCGGAAGGAACAUCAGUGGCGAAGGGGACUUCCUGGACCAAUACUGACGCUCAGGUGCGAAAGCGUGGGGAGCAAACAGG
rnacentral:rRNA from 1 species